rnacentral:misc_RNA from 1 species
AAAAAAAAAAAAAUUAAGGAUCAAUUCGUUACAAAACUUCCACCAGGGAUUAAUUUGUGAGUUUUGUUAAAUCUCAGUGAGUUCAUUGUAAUUUACCCUUACAACAAGUCUGUUCUUUCUUUUGUUCAACUAAAAAAAAAUGUGUAGAAGAAUCUCAUGUUGAAGUGAAUUAUGUACUACUGCUUAAACAUCUGAAAGAGACUAAAAAAAAAGGUAACUGAAAGAGAACAAUCUUCCCUCUAGAGUCUGUUGUUUGAUUAAAGGCAUGCUGAUGUUCCUCCAACCUGUUCUUUCUCCUUCUUACUUUAUUAUUCUUUACCUUGAGAGAUAAAUUGAAGCAAGAAAGUCUCAGUACAUGCGCGUGCACUCACAAAUUUGUACAUUGAUUUUAUCAGGAACUGAAGCUCUGUUCUAUUUUUGUAGUUUCUCAAGCUGCUUCUAGAG